CCAAGGGAGGUAUUACUGAGUUACGCUCUAAACCCUUUGUGAACAUACCUAUAACUGUUGCUUCGGCGGGUAGGGUCUCCGUGACCCUCCCGGCCUCCCGCCCCCGGGCGGGUCGGCGCCCGCCGGAGGAUAACCAAACUCUGAUUUAACGACGUUUCUUCUGAGUGGUACAAGCAAAUAAUCAAAACUUUUAACAACGGAUCUCUUGGUUCUGGCAUCGAUGAAGAACGCAGCGAAAUGCGAUAAGUAAUGUGAAUUGCAGAAUUCAGUGAAUCAUCGAAUCUUUGAACGCACAUUGCGCCCGCCAGCAUUCUGGCGGGCAUGCCUGUUCGAGCGUCAUUUCAACCCUCAAGCUCUGCUUGGUGUUGGGGCCCUACAGCUGAUGUAGGCCCUCAAAGGUAGUGGCGGACCCUCCCGGAGCCUCCUUUGCGUAGUAACUUUACGUCUCGCACUGGGAUCCGGAGGGACUCUUGCCGUAAAACCCCCAAUUUUCCAAAGGUUGACCUCGGAUCAGGUAGGAAUACCCGCUGAACUUAAGCAUAUCAAUAAGCGAGGGGAAGGAAAAAAAACCAACGCCUUUAAAAAUAUAAUAUUUUCUAAAGACACUUCGUGCCUAGAUGGCUUUUUGCCAUAGAAGGUGGUAGAGGAAUAAU
rnacentral:rRNA from 1 species